rnacentral:rRNA from 1 species
AACGAACGCUGGCGGCAUGCCUAACACAUGCAAGUCGAACGAGACCUUCGGGUCUAGUGGCGCACGGGUGCGUAACGCGUGGGAACCUGCCCUUAGGUUCGGAAUAACUCAGAGAAAUUUGAGCUAAUACCGGAUGAUGUCGAAAGACCAAAGAUUUAUCGCCUGUGGAUGGGCCCGCGUAGGAUUAGCUAGUUGGUGGGGUAAAGGCCUACCAAGGCGACGAUCCUUAGCUGGUCUGAGAGGAUGAUCAGCCACACUGGGACUGAGACACGGCCCAGACUCCUACGGGAGGCAGCAGUGGGGAAUAUUGGGCAAUGGGCGCAAGCCUGACCCAGCCAUGCCGCGUGAGUGAUGAAGGCCUUAGGGUUGUAAAGCUCUUUUAGUAGUGAAGAUGAUGACAGUAACUACAGAAAAAGCCCCGGCUAACUUCGUGCCAGCCGCCGCGGUAAAAC